UACGUAGGGUGCGAGCGUUGUCCGGAAUUAUUGGGCGUAAAGAGCUCGUAGGCGGUCUGUCGCGUCGAUCGUGAAAACUUGGGGCUUAACCCUGAGCUUGCGGUCGAUACGGGCAUGACUGGAGUUCGGCAGGGGAGACUGGAAUUCCUGGUGUAGCGGUGAAAUGCUUAGAUAUGACAUAGAACACCCAUUGCGAAGGCAGCUAACUACGCGAUAAUUGACGCUGAUGCACGAAAGCGUGGGGAUCAAACAGG
rnacentral:rRNA from 1 species